CCGAUAUCUUCGUGACAGAAAUGUGACAAAUACCAUAAAUGUACACGAUUUUGUUGUUUUUGAGGAUCACAACACAACACACGUGACGAUUGGCUUUAUAUCAGGAUCAAGUAGUGGUACCUCUUACGUGGCAUCAUAUACAGGGCAGGAAUUGUACAUGAGCUAGUGAAUGAAUCUGUAUGAAAAAGUGUGCAAAGGCACUUAGGACCAUAGAAAGAGACAUGUCUUACAACUGACUUGGUGAGGUGAGUGUGUGAACUGCUGUUGCUGUUGCUGUUAGUGACAACCAUGCAAUGAUACUCCAUAAAUACUGCAAAUUUGAUCCCACAUCAAACUAGUCUGGGCCAGAUGAGUGCUAAAUUUUUGCAGUGUGUGUACGCUAUCCCGGGCUAAAUACGCGCUAGUCCAGACCAAAUUAGCCCCGUAAAUGGAGGUGGGCCAGGCCCGCUUUGAAGCGUGCUAAGUUAGCCCGUACUAAGUUAGGCUGCGCUAAUCUAUGUGUGCACGCAAUCCGGGGCCAGGCGCGGGCUAAAUUUCAAUAUACGCAUGUGCAUAGCCUUAUUUGGGUGACAUAAAAAUAAAGUAGCUUUCUGCUGAGUGACGUAGCAAGCUUAACUGAGCAUGCACAUUCACCCUGUGCUAACUUGGCCCUGUUCAACAUUUUGUGUCUGUACACUGCAAUUUAGCGCGGGUCUGGCCCGGACUAGUUUG